GACCUGCAGCCUUACUCCCAGCGAUGAGUGGCUGAAUCGAUUUCAACAAGAUCGCUGAUUUCGUACUCCCACCGCACAUUUUUGCGGCUCAUUGUGUUAUGACGUCACGCAAACCGUUCAGUGAAAAUUAUAGCGUUACUAAGCUAGAAAUUCGCACCACGAGCUCAUCAUGAGCUCAUCACACAGAGUAGAUUAUAUGUCAAAGUUGCGACUCAACGCCUCUUUGAAAAAAGUUCCUAUUCUUGCAACGCAAAGCCAUUACAAUGGCAAAUUUUUCCUAUUUUUGUAAGAAAAAGAGCCUGUAAUUACACCUACAAAGUGAUGUGAAAGUAGUAACUGAGGAUACGUGAGGAUAGCAAACCAGUCUCCCUGGAUAUUUAAAGCAUAUUUAAAGGAGUUGACGGACAAUUUGACUGAAGACUUUAGCUUCAUGAAACUAGCUGAUUUGAGCGUAACAAAUAAGGUGAGUAUCCACGAACAUAAUAGAGGUACAUGUAAAAGUUUCUUCAACUAAAGGCGGUGAUCCAUUCGCGAGAAAAACCUCCAAUAACCUCUAAGUCCGCGGUCUAAAAAACCUCCAACGAUGUUACAAAAAGCACGCCACGACUUUGCCAAUGAUGAGAGUAGACUGUUUGGUUCGCUAAUGGAUCACCAACGAGAUUCGACAAGCCAACAAUCUAUACCGUCGCCUCGCCAGUGGAUGACCGCCUUAACUCUCAUGUUCUUAAGGCAUGAAGAAGAAGCCUUAAAGGAAAUAUCCUUCAAAACAAAGACAAACCUUCCUUUACCAUUGUUGUAGUCCUAUGGCACCCCAGAGGUGUCAUAAAAUCUGCCACCUAUCUAUGUUUAAACCACCUAUGUCUGGUCUCGCUCCAGCUAAGUCCAGUGGCUAACAAUAUAUACCUACUAAUAAUAAUAAUAAUAAGAUAAACCUUCCUAUACUAUCAUAAUGUCUGUAACCUAAACCCCAUGAUAUCUACUAACCAGAAUUUUGGUAUUUGUAGGUUUUUACUGCGUUGCAACUGGCUCCAGACUAGAAUUUAUAACCAAGACUAAAUAUUCAAGUGCCUAUGUGAAGUACCUACUUAACAACAAGUUGUAUUAAGAUCUUAUGAAGUUAAUACCUACAUAAGAAACUAAAUUGGCAUAUCAUUCUGCUACUGAAUAAUCAGAAAGCAGUUUUUUAGCUAAUAGAAGAGAAGCUUAUGCUUGAUAUUUCAGAACACUGAUAAUAAUAAAUUGUGAUGUGAUUUAAUAUAUCAUACUUAAUAAACACAAAAUACAAAUACAGCAAAAACCAUGUUUCAUUUCAUUAUUUAAAUGUUGAUGUUGCACUUGACUAAGAGGUCAUUCAUGAUACUAUUGAUUUAUAAAGGCUUGAUAGGAAGUAUUCCUUCUUAAGAGUCCGGCAAUGAUAACAUUGCAACAUGGAAGAAAUUGUAUAAGUAACAUUGUAAGUUGUACUUUUAAUAUAUGGAUUCCUUAGCAGACUUGAGGCCCUGUAUACUUACUUUUACCUGUUGCAAUGUAAUACCCUUGUUAUCACCUACUGAGUAGAGUGGCAAGACAGUACUUAACAAAUUUAACAGUGCUCAGCGGAGGACACUGUCUCGGGCCGCUCUACUUGGUGGUGUAAUCAGGGUGUUAGCAUUAUCUGCUUUAUGAAGAUUAGGUAGACAGAUUUUUUAUGUUUAAAGCAGGGUUUACUUACAUGAUAACAUUGUGUUUUUACAUAAGCAGACACUUGGUCCAUGCAUAAUGUUACAACUCUUAUUACUAGUUAUUACUGCUUUUUCUUAGAACUGCUUUAAACAUAAAGAAUAAAAAAUAAAACAGCCGCAUUCAACUUUUAAUAUGAUUAAUACAUUACGAGUAAUCGUUUAUAGAGUUUACAAUGCAUGAGUCUAAUAAGUACACACCUAAACUAUGAUCAAUUACGACUUACGAACUUUUGGAUUUCGAUAUGAUUAUGGAAUUGUAUUAAGUAUGUGGUUGAAAGCACGAUCUUAGAGUAUGGGUUUGCACUUAUUAUUCAGAAAUAUUAUCACGGUACAAGAUAUUUUCAGUAUUUCACUGUAAUUGUAGGUUAUGUUGAGUAUUUUUUCAAUAAAUUUCCGCCUUGAGUUAAAACUU